rnacentral:misc_RNA from 1 species
AAGGAUAUUACGGAAUGACCAUUAGGUCAUGGAAUAGCGURGACAUAUUGUAUUCAGUUUUGAAUGUUUAUUUAACAUUCAAACAUUGCACAUUGAAAACUAGAUAAGUAAGCAAAUAGAUUUUACCAAGCAAAAAACCGAGUGAAUUUUUAACGAAAUUCAACAAGCUUAAUAAUCGCGCGUCGUCUUUUUAGACGACAUCACAGAUUAAUAACAUUUAUUUCUUUAAACAUUAUGUAUAAGGAAAUAUUA